GACGCCGCGUGGGGGAUGACGGCCUUCGGGUUGUAAACCCCUACCCAGUGAGAGGAACACGGACAUCAGGUAAUGGGUGUCCGUUGACGUUAUCACUGGAAUUAGCUCCGGCUAAUUACGUGCCAGCAACUUCGGUGACUGAGCGGGCUGGCAAGGCGCAUA
rnacentral:rRNA from 1 species